rnacentral:rRNA from 1 species
GGCGGACGGGUGAGGAAUACAUCGGAAUCUACUCUGUCGUGGGGGGAUAACGUAGGGAAACUUACGCUAAUACCGCAUACGACCUACGGGUGAAAGCAGGGGAUCUUCGGACCUUGCGCGAUUGAAUGAGCCGAUGUCGGAUUAGCUAGUUGGCGGGGUAAAGGCCCACCAAGGCGACGAUCCGUAGCUGGUCUGAGAGGAUGAUCAGCCACACUGGAACUGAGACACGGUCCAGACUCCUACGGGAGGCAGCAGCG